rnacentral:rRNA from 1 species
AUUGAACGCUGGCGGCAGGCUUAACACAUGCAAGUCGAGCGGGGUGAUGGUGCUUGCACUAUCACUUAGCGGCGGACGGGUGAGUAAUGCUUAGGAAUCUGCCUAUUAGUGGGGGACAACAUCUCGAAAGGGAUGCUAAUACCGCAUACGUCCUACGGGAGAAAGCAGGGGAUCACUUGUGACCUUGCGCUAAUAGAUGAGCCUAAGUCGGAUUAGCUAGUUGGUGGGGUAAAGGCCUACCAAGGCGACGAUCUGUAGCGGGUCUGAGAGGAUGAUCCGCCACACUGGGACUGGGACACGGCCCAGACCCCUACGGGAGGCAGCAGUGGGGAAUAUUGGAAAAGGGGGGGAACCCUGAUCCAGCCAUGCCGCGUGUGUGAAGAAGGCCUUAUGGUUGUAAAGCACUUUAAGCGAGGAGGAGGCUCUUUUGGUUAAUACCCAAGAUGAGUGGACGUUACUCGCAGAAUAAGCACCGGCUAACUCUGUGCCAGCCGCCGCCGUAA